UACGAAGGGGGCUAGCGUUGCUCGGAAUCACUGGGCGUAAAGCGCACGUAGGCGGCUUUUUAAGUCAGGGGUGAAAUCCUGGAGCUCAACUCCAGAACUGCCUUUGAUACUGAGAAGCUUGAGUCCGGGAGAGGUGAGUGGAACUGCGAGUGUAGAGAUGAAAUUCGUAGAUAUUCGCAAGAACACCAGUGGCGAAGGCGGCUCACUGGCCCGGUACUGACGCUGAGGUGCGAAAGCGUGGGGAGCAAACAGG
rnacentral:rRNA from 1 species